GGCCCUGUCGUCUAGUGGCCUAGGACGGAGCCCUCUCACGGCUUAAACCGGGGUUCGAAUCCCCGCAGGGUCA
rnacentral:tRNA from 1 species